AAUCAACGCUGGCGGCGUGCCUAACACAUGCAAGUCGAACGCGAAAGCCCGCGAAGGGUAAGUAGAGUGGCGCACGGGUGAGUAACACGUGGACAACCUGCCGUUCGAGUGGGGAAUAACCUUCCGAAAGGGGGCUAAUACCGCAUAAACCGCGGAACACAAGUUCUGGGGUUGAAAAGAGCAAUUUUGCUCGAAGAGGGGUCCGCGCCUAGAUUAGCUA
rnacentral:rRNA from 1 species